GCAGAGCGCACUCGUGUUGUGUUGAACAAACACACGCGUCGCCUUUGGCGCGCCCGUGAACGCGCACGUCGAUAUCACGAGCGCGCCGGCGACGGGCGAUCGGGCGGUGUUUGCGGCGGCCGGGCGAGCCGAUGUCUGGGCGGGUGUGCGGGCGGAGAGGAACGAACGCAUCGGAGGAUGGAUGUCGUCUGCAGAAUUCGAACGGCUUUUGGUCCGACGAUGACCGCGCGGCGAUGGCGACAAUGCGCACGGAACGGAACAUACGUUCAGGCCGCGAUUCUAACGCCAAGUGAAACGGCGAACGAAAAAAAAAAUCGACACACCUUUUCAACCCAUUCAUUCCUCAUCAACAAAAAUCUUCCACUCAUUUGUGAUCACAUCAUUCAAGUUUGCACGAAGUACCGGGACAUAAGAACCAAACUCGCUAUACCAUCGUAUAUGGAAAAAGCCCUCAACGGAAACAACACCAGCAAAAUUAUCACAAUUCUAACCAAACUAAUAACUAACUCUAAUAUUGUAAAAAUCUUUCCCUUAGUCUCUAAGUUACAAUGCCUACAAUUUGUUAUUUAUUUUAAUUAUUAUUUUUUUCACUUAUUUUACCAUUUGUAUCUUAACUAACUUAGGCUAAUAAUCUAUAGAUAUAUCUAAUAGAUAACCUAUGAUGUUGAAGUCUAUUUCCAAUAAUAAAAAAAUAAUAAAA